rnacentral:misc_RNA from 1 species
CUCCCUGGUGCCAGUAAACCUGUAGUAGCUGUUCGCUUCUGCCCCAUGGCUUUUAGCCUUCGGGGAUCACACUCAGCUGGGUUUUGCAAGCUUCCUUAUCGCCUAAUUUUUGCAGUGGCAACUUUAAACUCGUUGUAUAUCUAUGACACGGAAAGUGCUCCUCCAAUAUCUUGGCUGGUCUUCACUAUCCAGCCAUAACUGACAUUGCCUGGUAAGUUUGUCUAACUUAAAGAGGUACUCACCCUCCANNNNNNNNAAAACAAGAAAAAAAAAAAAAACCGAAAUUGGAUAGAGAUGUAUAUAUGCCACUCCCCUCGCCCUAGCACUCAUUGUAACAACCAAACUUUGGGGCUGUUACCGGCGCUAGGGAACAAGUCAGCUGAAGGCUGUCGGAACACAUAACAAGCCUAAAACUUGUAAAAACAUCACUUUAUUCCAUUUAAACUAAAAUUUAAAGCAAC